UACAGAGGUCUCAAGCGUUGUUCGGAUUCAUUGGGCGUAAAGGGCGCGUAGGCGGCGGGGUAAGUCGGGUGUGAAAUCUCAGAGCUCAACUCUGAAACUGCACUCGAUACUGCUCUGCUUGAGGACUGGAGAGGAGACUGGAAUUCACGGUGUAGCAGUGAAAUGCGUAGAUAUCGUGAGGAAGACCAGUGGCGAAGGCGGGUCUCUGGACAGUUCCUGACGCUGAUGAGCGAAAGCCAGGGGAGCAAACGGG
rnacentral:rRNA from 1 species